AAGUCGUAACAAGGUUUCUGUAGGUGAACCUGCAGAAGGAUCAUUAGUGAAGCUUGGGCUUGCCAUACGGACGCGCCACCGCGCGUCUCUGGCGCCCACCACUAUAUCCACACCCACCCCCGUGCACUGUGAUGGCGUCCAAGUCAUCGACCACAAAAAACUCGUAUGGUUUUGUAUGUACGUGAACAUAGUAGGGAUGGUCCUACGAACUAUACACAA
rnacentral:misc_RNA from 1 species